ensembl:lncRNA
UCACGCCGUGACUCAGCAUUUCCACUACAAAUGGUUUAGUUUUAACAGAAAGAAGAAAUUCUGUGGAAAUGAUCCUCUAUAUAUACAUGCAUACUUACAUAAAUCCCUUGACAGGACCCUUUUCAUGGAUACUAUGACAAAUAAACCCCUGUUUCCUUUGGGUUCACUGGAAAACAAAGAACUGGACAAUACAGAAGCCAAUAUAACUGGAAAAGGAAAAGCCAGACCGUUGGAGAAAAUUAGCUUCAGGCAUACAUUUUCACUAGCUCUGCAGAGAGUUCUCUGAAAGAUUUAUCAUCCUAAAUUACCAUUGGAUCUACAUAGGAAAUAAAUCUUUGCAGAUAUCCACUUGGAAUGGGUGGGGGAGAAGUUCUCUUUCCUGUUUCAGGAUGUAUUCUAGUAGAUUUUUUUGCAGACCAUAGUUUUGCUUGUAAUCAGUUCUUGAUGACAGUACAUAUUUUUUUCUUUUUUUUGGGGGGGGGGGGGGAGGGAGGGAGGGAGUUAAGGGAACAUAAAAAAAUGCCAAAGCCUCAUUAUUUUUACUUAAAAUUCAAGGAUUUAGAAUUAUUGAACCAUAAAUUCUGUAAUGACAUUUUACAAGAUCUGUAAUUCAAGUACCCUCUCUCCUUCAUUUUGUCUUCAUACUGUACUUCCUAACAAGACUUCCGGAGGAUCUUUUUUUUUCUUGUGCUGUUUUAAUGCACCAUAGCAAUUGCACAAUUAAAAGGCAUCAUGAAAAAUGUACUCCAAUGAAGAAAUUUGCUUCAAAAAGAGAAAUGGAAUCACCCAAUAUCUGAAAUAUAAUCCCCAUGAGGUACCACAUCCACAAUAAAAGCCUUCUCAGUCUCUGUUAGGUUUUCCAUUGUGCAUAGAAAUUAUCUGGAGAAAAAAAAAAACCCUGACCCUCUUUAAAUGAGGUCAUCAAAUAUCUCAUCUUCUCCUUCAUUGCAAGCAUUUGCUCAAAUUAAGUGAAUUUAGCUUGAUUCCAGAAUAUGACACUUUUGAAUCCAUUGCAGCGCCAUGGUUUACCGACCUUUAAAAGUUACAGGUAUUGAGAGUGUAUUGAAAUCAACUAUUUCAACAACUAUUAAUCCUUCACUGAAUGCAUAAAAAAAUAAGCUGUGAUAAAAUACAUAAGCAGAACAAAUUAUAAAUCUAUUCAAAAUUUAAAUUGGUUUUCAGAUUAACUAAAUUUCAAAUUGAAACAAGAAUCUUCCUGAAAAUUGCUUAUUUUCUGCUUUACUUAAUCUGAAGAUUAGAAGAAAAUACUGUGUGAUGGUACUUCUUUUUGUGAUACUUGUAUAUUUGCAAUAAUGCUAAUGGGCUAUUGAAUUCCCUGGUACUCC